CAGUCGCCACGGGAAAACGUAGGUGGCAAGCGUUGUCCGGAAUGAUUGGGCGUAAAGGGCGCGCAGGCGGCUGUGUAAGUCUGUCUAGAAAGUGCGGGGCUAAACCCCGUGAGAGGAUGGAAACUGGACAGCUGAGAGUGUCGGAGAGGAAAGCGGAAUUCCUAGUGUAGCGGUGAAAUGCGUAGAUAUAUGGAGGAACACCGGUGGCGAAAGCGGCUCUCUGGCUUGUAACUGACGCUGAGGCGCGAAAGCCAGGAGAGCGAACGGGAUUAGAUACCCCGGUAGUCCCUGUCUCUUAUAC
rnacentral:rRNA from 1 species